GCUGCAGUUAUCCCUAUCAGCAUUUAACUAGCGAGAUCGUGACAUCAUUUCAAAGAUUUCAUGUGUAUGAUGUUGAUACCAAAUAUCACAAUAUACCUGUGAAGAUGCUGAAAUUGGAGGAUCAAGAUUUUCUUGGAGAGGCCACGUGUGUUCUAUCAGAGGUACUUACCAAACAAAAUCGGAGUUGAACCCUUAACCUUCAUGGUAAAAUUGGGCAUGUGGGUUUGAGGAAGUUAGGGGUACUCACCAUCCAUGCAGAGGAAACAGUUGCUUCAAGGAGGGUUGUUGAGAUGAUACUCCAUUGUUCUUACUUGGAUAACAAGGACAUAUUUUCUAAAAGUGUAAGUAUUUGCAAAGCAGAUACCUCAAGC